rnacentral:rRNA from 1 species
AUGUCCGAGGAGGUGAGCACUGCACUAGCUUGCCCCAUUACCCAGUUCCCAAUCACCUACCUGGGUCUCCCGUUGUCACUUUGGAAGCCGCCAUCUUUCGCCUUCGACCCGCUCAUUGUUCGACUUCAGAAGAAGCUGCCCACCUGGCGUGCCGCCCUUCUUUCUAGGGGCGAGAGACUCGCUUUGGCUCGCCACGUCCUCUCUGCUAUGCCUUCUCACAUCCUGGUGGCGAUUGCUCUGAAUGCUACCACCCUUAAGCACGCCAACCGAGUCAUCCGCGAUUUCCUGUGGCAUGGGCGCAAGGACGCGCCGACAGGAUGUUGCCCUGUCAACUGGCAUAGGGUGUGCAUGCCGCUCAACCUCGGCGGCCUUGGCGUGCGUGAUCUCUUCCACGUGGGCAUCGCCCUCCGAGUCCGUUGGCUCUGGCUUCAGCACACUGAUCACAACCGAUCGUGGAAACACCUCUAG